UUUCGGAACCAAUCGGAGUUGUUUGGGAAAACCCACGUUAACGCAAAGCAUUUAUCGAUCGAAGUUGACGCAUGUGAAAUAGUGAAAAUAUGGUACGAUUUGACUAGGCUUUUAUUUACAAUUUUCGCCAGAGUCGGAUUUGCGUCCCCGGGAAUCAAUAUUUUUUUUGAAGUGUUGAUUUAUCAUGUUUAAUCUUAGUUUAGUCAGGCACACCAAUUUCAGAUUCUGUACAGAUUUGCAGACAAUGACGGUUAUGAACGUGCAAUGUUAAAAACUUUAUAAUGAUGCUUAAAGAUUCAACCAUUGAAAUCUAAUCUACUCAGAAUGCCGCAAAUGCAGCAGAAUAGCCUGCCUAUGGAAAAACAAAAACUUGCUUAAAAAUAAUAAAUAAAAAACCACUGCAGCAGUGUUGUUAUUGAUUUAAUUUUUUUUUUUAAAUACAGGCUUUGUUUAUAAAGAACAAUUGUCUUCAUUAUUAUUAUUAUUACUAUUAUUACUAUUAUUACUUACAGAAGAAAUAAGCAAACUAAUUAUGUUUAAUGCUUAUGCAAAUAUAAAUAAUUUCUUAUUAGUCAGAUUUUUUAGUAAAGUACCAACCAGAAAAUGAAAUGUUGUCUACCUCAGUACUCUUGUUUCCUGCACUGUAUCAAGUAUUUAUGUCAGUCUUGGAAUGUAGGCUUACCAUAGUUAUUGAAAUAAAUGUUCUGAAGGAUAUUAUAAUCAAAUGCAGUACCACCAUGUAUAUUUAUAUUCCAUAAUAAUUUAAAAGAGAUAGGCUAAUAUACAUGUGAAUGUGUACUACUAUGUAAUAAAGUAUUACAGUAUUUAUUACUAA